GCUGGCGGCAGGCCUAACACAUGCAAGUCGAACGGAGUUAUAUUGUAGCUUGCUAUGGUAUAACUUAGUGGCAGACGGGUGAGUAAUGUAUAGGAAUCUACCUAGUAGUACGGAAUAAUUGUUGGAAACGGCAACUAAUACCGUAUACGCCCUACGGGGGAAAAAUUUAUUGCUAUUAGAUGAGCCUAUAUUAGAUUAGCUAGUUGGUGGAGUAAUAGCCUACCAAGGCAAUGAUCUAUAGCUGAUCUGAGAGGAUGAUCAGCCACACUGGAACUGAGAUACGGUCCAGACUCCUACGGGAGGCAGCAGUGGGGAAUAUUGGACAAUGGGCGAAAGCCUGAUCCAGCCAUGCCGCAUGAGUGAAGAAGGCCUUUGGGUUGUAAAGCUCUUUUAGUGAGGAAGAUAAUGACGGUACUCACAGAGGAAGUCCUGGCUAACUCCGUGCCAGCAGCCGCGGUAAUACGGAGAGGGCUAGCGUUAUUCGGAAUUAUUGGGCGUAAAGGGCGCGUAGGCGGAUUAGUAAGUUAAAAGUGAAAUCCCAAGGCUCAACCUUGGAAUUGCUUUUAAAACUGCUAAUCUAGAGAUUGAAAGAGGAUAGAGGAAUUCCUAGUGUAGAGGUGAAAUUCGUAAAUAUUAGGAGGAACACCAGUGGCGAAGGCGUCUAUCUGGUUCAAAUCUGACGCUGAGGCGCG
rnacentral:rRNA from 1 species